GGAGAAUUGGCCGAGUGGCUGAAGGCGCACGCUUGGAAAGCGUGUAUAGGGGCAACUCUAUCGGGGGUUCGAAUCCCCCAUUCUCCGCCA
rnacentral:tRNA from 1 species